rnacentral:misc_RNA from 1 species
AAGUCGUAACAAGGUUUCCGUCGGAAGGAUCAUUAACACGUAACGUUAAAUCCCGACGUUUACAGCCGCUGGGUUCACGCAAGACGCAUCCGCAUGGUUUAACGCCGCAAGGUCUUAACGGCGACUGAAAGGUUGCCGACUUUGUGCUUCGUAGCGUGUACGCCGAUUAUCGCGGGCUUGCUUGUAAUUCGUUUCUGUUGUUGUGUUUAGCAGGAAGAGCUGGAAGAAGUUUCCGGAGCCGAAAUUCACUUGGGGAAGAGCCGGAAGAAGUUUUCGGUGACCUGGACCAGCACAAUAUUUCAAUGGCAAGCUCGGGUUAUGGUUUGAGACGGUGGGUUCUAUCCAAGAUUCACUUAAUUGAAGUCUUAAUGACCCAAAAACAUAUGGUUAACAAUGGAUAUAUCUUGGUUCUC